rnacentral:rRNA from 1 species
GAUGAACGCUGGCGGCGUGCCUAAUACAUGCAAGUCGAGCGAACAGACGAGGAGCUUGCUCCUCUGACGUUAGCGGACGGGUGAGUAACACGUGGAUAACCUACCUAUAAGACUGGGAUAACUUCGGGAAACCGGAGCUAAUACCGGAUAAUAUAUUGAACCGCAUGGUUCAAUAGUGAAAGACGGUUUUGCUGUCACUUAUAGAUGGAUCCGCGCCGCAUUAGCUAGUUGGUAAGGUAACGGCUUACCAAGGCAACGAUGCGUAGCCGACCUGAGAGGGUGAUCGGCCACACUGGAACUGAGACACGGUCCAGACUCCUACGGGAGGCAGCAGUAGGGAAUCUUCCGCAAUGGGCGAAAGCCUGACGGAGCAACGCCGCGUGAGUGAUGAAGGUCUUCGGAUCGUAAAACUCUGUUAUUAGGGAAGAACAAAUGUGUAAGUAACUAUGCACGUCUUGACGGUACCUAAUCAGAAAGCCACGGCUAACUACGUG